AUUGAACGCUGGCGGCAUGCUUUACACAUGCAAGUCGAACGGCAGCGCGGGCUUCGGCCUGGCGGCGAGUGGCGAACGGGUGAGUAAUGCAUCGGAACGUGCCCAGUAGUGGGGGAUAGCCCGGCGAAAGCCGGAUCAAUACCGCAUACGACCUGAGGGUGAAAGCGGGGGACCGAAAGGCCUCGCGCUAUUGGAGCGGCCGAUGUCGGAUUAGCUAGUUGGUGGGGUAAAGGCUUACCAAGGCGACGAUCCGUAGCUGGUCUGAGAGGACGACCAGCCACACUGGGACUGAGACACGGCCCAGACUCCUACGGGAGGCAGCAGUGGGGAAUUUUGGACAAUGGGGGCAACCCUGAUCCAGCCAUGCCGCGUGCGGGAAGAAGGCCUUCGGGUUGUAAACCGCUUUUGUUCGGGAAGAAAUCCUCUGGGCUAAUACCCCGGGGGGAUGACGGUACCGGAAGAAUAAGCACCGGCUAACUACGUG
rnacentral:rRNA from 1 species